AUGAGACAAAAAGUGACCACACGUUAGAUUUACUGUAAAUAUGUCAGGGUUUACCCGUCACUCUAAUCCAGACUUCAGAGGUCCCUGGGAGAAUUAUGUGUUAUCGCCUUCAUAGUCCCAUUUCAACCCAUCUGAACACCUCUGGUUUUCAGACCUGCGAACCCAAGUCUGGUUGAAUCGGAUUCUGGUUUGUUUUCCCUCUUGGUGCAGUUGGGCAGAUCUGAACACAGCAAUCGUACUCGAGUGCGGACCAAAAGAACGGCACGAGACCCUUCAAAGGAAGUGGGUCUUGGUCCGGUCACGAACAAAUUCUGGAGCGGUUUGUUUUUGGCGAGAACAUGAUUCGCACCCGACUACGGGGCGUUCUCUGCAUGUUUUGAGAAACAGAAGUGUCGCUCGGAAAUCUUGCGAGAGGUGAGUUGUUGCAGGAAGACGACGGUGGAAACGUGAGUGGGUAAGUCAUCUUACUCUUUCACAAAAAGGUGCAUCUCUGUUAUUUCCAUAAUGUUGUCAGACCCUUAGAAUAACAAUCUGAGCCUCUCGGUGGCAAAAACAAGCACAUUUAGUGAUGUACUUUUGACACAUGCAAUUGCCCACAAGGUUUACGUUGUAGCCAUCGCAGCCUGAUUCGCGGCUGCCGGCUGAGGCGAUCUACUGGACCAAUUCCAAAACUUGCGGUGUGCUUUGCACAUUAAGUGCAGAUAAGGGAAAUCCACAGUUAGCCAGAGAAUGAAUCGAGGACUUUGACUAGAAACAAAGUACGAUGCCUUCUUUCUUACUGUGCUGACGACACAUCUAACCAAUGAGCGGAGUGAUAUCUCUCUCCUGCUCUCUCGUGGCUUUAGUGAUGCAUUGUGGGUUGCUUGAUUUUUUUUUUUCUGUGUGAAAAGAAACCGAACUAAUGGGAAAACACAACAAGUUUACCACAUCAUCCACUCAUUCAGACCAGAAGAAACAAACAAUAGGUUUGAAAACGCCCUUAGACAGCGCUCUCCAUCACCAUCAUGAAAAGAACAAAUGAGGGAAUGUCUUUCGUAAGAAUGACGUUCAUCCAUCAAGUAGAGUUUAGAGAAUUAAUGACAAGAAGCACUGAAGCUGUUCCACGCUCUAUUGCUGACAUGAUAAUACAUCAGUAAUGUAGCGCUCUAGAUCAGGGCUAUUCAAUUGGGCCAGAUUAUAAAACCAGGAAACUUAGAUGGCACUUGCCAGUCCAGGCAGGGUUAACCCUCCGAGGCUGCUUCUGGGCCGGUUGUGGCCCGCGGGCCGCCAAUUGAAUAGGCCUGAUCUAGAAGGAACAAUUCUCUAAAACGAGUACUGUUGCUUUCGAACCAAACUAUCUUUUAACUGCUAAGACUUUUUUACUUUCACUUGGAAUUAAGUGUUUUUUCAUUUGGGUGUUGCUACAUCUACAUGAGAAAAAGGAUUUUAAUCAUUUUUCCACCACUGGCUCCUUUUUUUUUUUUUUUUUUUUUUUUU